rnacentral:rRNA from 1 species
UACAGAGGGGGCAAGCGUUAUUCGGAAUUAUUGGGCGUAAAGGGCGCGUAGGCGGCUUGGCAAGUGGAAGGUGAAGUCCCUCGGCUUAACCGAGGAACUGCCCUCCAAACUGCUUUGCUUGAGGCCGGGAGAGGCGAGUGGAAUUCCCAGUGUAGCGGUGAAAUGCGUAGAUAUUGGGAGGAACACCAGUGGCGAAGGCGGCUCGCUGGACCGGUUCUGACGCUGAUGCGCGAAAGCGUGGGGAGCAAACGGG